UUUUCAAUUAUGAUGUUUUGCUGGAAAACUUAUGAACUUUUUAGAAUCUUAAGUAAAACAGAUCCAUAAUAUUCAUAAAUGCCUAAGAAAAACCUGAAAAUAUAUACAUAACAAUUAGUAAACAAAAGAUAAGGCAAAGUCCAUAUAAAACAGAUCCGAUAUAAACGACGGUGGUCGACCCGAACUUCUUCCAUCACGUUCCUCCUCCUAAUUUCUUCUUCCGAUCUUCUCCAUCUCAUCUUCAAAAUCCUAACAAUUACUCCAUCGCCGCCGAAUCGCGAGCUCUCCGAAGGAUGAAAAUGGCGGUUUUGAGUAAAAUCACUUAAUGCCACCUGAAGCUCUGUUUCUCCAUUAGCUUAUCUUGACCUGACUCAUCUUCUUGGUUCCUUUAGUAGUUACCGGAGCACGCUCGAGUUACUACCAUGUGAACUAGAGUUGAAUAAUAACGGCGAUGGUGUCUCCUUAGAAGACUUGGCCGAUUUUGGGAGAAAUUGCAGGAGCUGGUUAACUUCUCUGAGCUCGAUCAACUUUAACACUUGCUGUGAAAUGUAACGAUUUGGUAGGUUCUGUUGAGAAGGUGAAAAAGAGUGUGUUGGAUAAAUGGUUACCGUCUGAUCUCUGUGGAAUUAAGAGUGAGAUUGAUCAAUGGAGGGAUUUCCCAAGUUAGUAUUCCUCUAGUGUUCUUUCUUCGAUUGUGGGUUCAAAAGCGAUUGAAACGAGCUAGUUGGGGACAUGGAUUCUGGUUAAGAGGAUUUGAAAUCGAUACUUGAAUGGCUUGUGGAUUUAUGAUGGAGUCUGAUGCUAAUUGCGUUGGUGAUUAUGGGUUGCAAAAGUAGAACACUUGAGUGUCCAGUCUUGAUUCAAGUGUUGUCCUUUAUGGAGAAGCAAAUGGGAAGUACUUUGCUUUAAGCAGUGCAUAGUAGAAUCUGCCCUCUCAUAGGAUGAUGCAAGCUUGAGUAAUAAGGAUGUGGAGAUGGAGAAGCCCUUUGAGAAUACUUCAGCUGGCAAAAUCUUUCCCUUCUUCUUCGAGGUACGUUUGAUGUCUCCUCUUUUUGCUCUCUAAUCUUUCCCGUUGGGAUGUUGAGAAAUCAUGGAAAUUGCCAGAAAAUUUCUGUCCAGAAUUUACUGAUUCCACUAGAGAAAUUAGAAUUGGAAUUGGUUUUGAAAUUAGAAUUGAUUUCGGUUCGGUUUCAUUGGUUUUGAAAUUAGAAUUGAUUUCGUUCGGUUUGCGUUGGAAUUAAUUAAGGUUUUGAUAAAAGAAAAAACAAAAAGUCACGCACGCGAGGCUUUUUUAGAAAGGAGCGAGUGUGUUUCAAAACAGGCGAUUUGGUGAGAGUGGGCGUGAAAUCGCGCGAUGGGUGAGAGAGGGGUGUGACAUGGAGCGAUCUGAUUGGCUAAAAAUAUGAAAAUAGUAGUGAUGUAGCUCCUAUCUUCCUCCUCUCAUAAUAACACUUUUAUUACUUUCUUCUCUUUUCGUCUUCUAUGUGAAAAAACAAGGUAUGAGAUGAUUACAAAAAACUUUUAGACAAAAAUUUUGUCUUGUUUAUUUUAUUAGCCAGCUUGAGAAUGAAAUUAAGAUUUCUUCAAUCUGAAAGUUCAUGUUCUUAGAUACAAUUGAGAGUCUUAUUCUCAGGUUUUGGGUUAUUUUGAAAUCCUUCAUGUCA